rnacentral:rRNA from 1 species
GAUGAACGCUGGCGGCGUGCCUAAUACAUGCAAGUCGAGCGAAGCGGGGACGGGUGAGUAACACGUGGAUAACCUCCUAUAAGACUGGGAUAACUUCGGGAAACCGGAGCUAAACCGGAUACUUAUAGAUGGAUCCGCGCUGCAUUAGCUAGUUGGUAAGGUAACGGCUUACCAAGGCAACGAUGCAUAGCCGACCUGAGAGGGUUGUGGUCCACACUGGCACUGAGACUCGGGCCCGACUCGUAUGGGAGGCAGCAGUGGGGUUGCUCCCGCAAUGGGCGCAAGCCUGACGGGUAAACGCGGCGUGAGUGAUGAAGGUCUUGGAACCGUAAACCUCUGUUAUUAGGGAAGCGGUCCCUAACCAGAAACCGACGGCUGACUACGUGCCAGCAGCCGCGGUAAUAC